rnacentral:rRNA from 1 species
UACGUAGGGUGCAAGCGUUAAUCGGAAUUACUGGGCGUAAAGCGUGCGCCAGGCGGUUUUGUAAGUCUGUCGUGAAAUCCCCGGGCUCAACCUGGGAAUUGCGAUGGAGACUGCAAGGCUAGAAUCUGGCAGAGGGGGGUAGAAUUCCACGUGUAGCAGUGAAAUGCGUAGAGAUGUGGAGGAACACCGAUGGCGAAGGCAGCCCCCUGGGUCAAGAUUGACGCUCAUGCACGAAAGGCGUGGGGAGCAAACAGG